rnacentral:rRNA from 1 species
UACGAAGGUGGCAAGCGUUACUCGGAAUUACUAGGCGUAAAGGGCAGGUAGGUGGUUCGGUAAGUCUGUUGUGUAAGCUCCCGGCUUAACUGGGAGAGGUCAACGGAAACUACCGAGCUUGAGUAUGGGAGAGGGUACUGGAAUUCCCGGUGUAGCGGUGAAAUGCGCAGAUAUCAGGAGGAACACCGGUGGCGAAGGCGGUUCUCUGGGCAUUACCUGACGCUGAGGAGCGAAAGUGUGGGGAGCGAACAGG